GGCCCAUUUCAGAACUCCCAUUCAUCUUCAUCCAUAUCGUUAUGCCCUUUCGAUGGUUCUGAUGUCGAACCAUCAAAGUGUGGAACCUGCUCAGUAAUGUAGUUAAUAACAAUAGCAACUGUGUAAGUGCGAGAGCCUACCAUUACCUCAACCUUCUCCGAAAUACUCAAGAUAUCUUCACAGAAGAAGAUGAUAUCGAAGCCUGAAAUAUCUCCCCAUCUUAGGCUAGAUCGAC
rnacentral:lncRNA from 1 species